GAUGAAGACGUAGUGAAAUGCGAUAAGUAAUGUGAAUUGCAGAAUUCAGUGAAUCAUCGAAUCUUUGAACGCACCUUGCGCCCUUUGGCUAUUCCGAAGGGCAUGCCUGUUUGAGUAUCAUGAACACCUCAACUCUCAUGGUUUGCCAUGAUGAGCUUGGACUCUGGGGGUCUUGCUGGCCUAUGGUCAGCUCCUCUCAAAUAAAUCAGCUUGCCAGUGUUUGGUGGCAUCACAGGUGUGAUAACUAUCUACGCUUGUGGUUUUCCAUCAGGUAACCUUCAGUGAUGGAGGUUCGCUGGAGCUCAUAAAUGUCCCUCCUCAGCGAGGACAGCUUUUUGAACGUUUGAUCUCAAAUCAGGUAGGACUACCCGCUGAACUUAAGCAUAUCAAUAAGCGGAGGA
rnacentral:misc_RNA from 1 species